rnacentral:rRNA from 1 species
UACAGAGGGGGCAAGCGUUAUUCGGAAUUAUUGGGCGUAAAGGGCGCGUAGGCGGCUUAUCAAGUCAGGCGUGAAAUUCCCGGGCUCAACCUGGGGGCUGCGCUUGAUACUGAUGAGCUUGAAUGCGGGAGAGGAUAGUGGAAUUCCCAGUGUAGAGGUGAAAUUCGUAGAUAUUGGGAAGAACACCGGUGGCGAAGGCGGCUAUCUGGCCCGUAAUUGACGCUGAGGCGCGAAAGCGUGGGGAGCAAACAGG